GAUUCCUUGGCGGCAGGCCUAACACAUGCAAGUCGAGCGGAUGAGAGGAGCUUGCUCUUCGAUUCAGCGGCGGACGGGUGAGUAAUGCCUAGGAAUCUGCCUAGUAGUGGGGGACAACGUUUCGAAAGGAACGCUAAUACCGCAUACGUCCUACGGGAGAAAGUGGGGGAUCUUCGGACCUCACGCUAUUAGAUGAGCCUAGGUCGGAUUAGCUAGUUGGUAGGGUAAAGGCCUACCAAGGCGACGAUCCGUAACUGGUCUGAGAGGAUGAUCAGUCACACUGGAACUGAGACACGGUCCAGACUCCUACGGGAGGCAGCAGUGGGGAAUAUUGGACAAUGGGCGCAAGCCUGAUCCAGCCAUGCCGCGUGUGUGAAGAAGGCCCUCGGGUCGUAAAGCACUUUAAGUUGGGAGGAAGGGCUCAUAGCGAAUACCUGUGAGUUUUGACGUUACCAACAGAAUAAGCACCGGCUAACUUCGUGCCAGCAGCCGCGGUAAUACGAAGGGUGCAAGCGUUAAUCGGAAUUACUGGGCGUAAAGCGCGCGUAGGUGGCUUGAUAAGUUGGAUGUGAAAUCCCCGGGCUCAACCUGGGAACUGCAUCCAAAACUGUCUGGCUAGAGUGCGGUAGAGGGUAGUGGAAUUUCCAGUGUAGCGGUGAAAUGCGUAGAUAUUGGAAGGAACACCAGUGGCGAAGGCGACUACCUGGACUGACACUGACACU
rnacentral:rRNA from 1 species